CAAGCACUCAUUUCCUCCGAUCUGUGUGUUUCUAAAACCCUAGAUCUCCAUCGCUAUCGAUCGACGCCUCAAAGAAUCGCAAUCGCAGCAAGAUGCAAGAGGGUGUUACCAUCUUUGCCUGGAGAGUUCAAAAACGCGAUGCCGUUUGGGAUCAGCAAUUCAUCAACCAAAGUCUUCAAAACCUCCAAACGGUUGUACUUCACACACAAGUGCAGAACAGUGUCUCCUCCUCCUUCCAUUCUGUUGAGUUUCUCACGAAUUGACUCGAGCCGGAGUCAACAGUUUCACGACCUCUACAUGAUUGCCAAGUGGAGAGGAGUUCUACCAUCUUCGUCUCGAGCUUCGCAAACGGCAUCGUCCGCAUCCAACAGCGCAUGAAAGAUCUCAACGUGGCCCGUUGCUGAAGCCAAGUGGAGAAGCGAGCACCGAGUUAAAUCAAGCUCGCUAGCGAGUCCAGGUUUUCGACUCAGAAUCGCUGUCGUGAAAUUUGAGUGACCUCGCAAUACUGCAAUGUGCAAAGGAGUUUGGUGAUGAGCGUUCAUCGUCUUGAGAGAGACUCUGUCAAGAAUGAGUGGAUCUUCUUCCUCCAAUCUCUCUAAUUCAGGUACACUUCCAUUUAGGGAUGCUUUGUAGAGCCUUGUCUCCUUAAUUGUUCUCUCAUUCAUGACGAUUUUGAUCGAUUAUUCAUUUGUAGUUAGGGAUUGAACUUACCACCCUUUGUAUUGUAAGUGUAACACCAAAUGUCCGUAGCUUUACUUUGUUAGACUGCAUGUCCAAGAAGUUUCCUGUACUCUCCUCGAAGACUUGGACGGUGACUUAGGACUUAGACAAUUUUAUAAUGAUUACUGUCUAAUUUGAGGGAAUAAUAAUUUAUCCUUUUUAGUUA